ACUGAAACAAGGCAAACCCAUCGAAAGGUGGGGACGCAAAGUCACCGGUCUACCGGGCGCCAUGAACAAGCGCCCCAAGACGGCGGGACUGCCAGG
rnacentral:ncRNA from 1 species